ensembl:lncRNA
UAAAGGCAUCUCUUUGGAGGUCCCUGCCUUCUGGACGCCUUCUGAAGCAUUUGGAAGCUCCAUCUCCCUGAGUAAAUAAGAGCACUACAACUACUGCCUACGCUGUGACAGAACAAAAAGUCCUUUGGCCCAGAUAUUACGUGUGAAUGAAAAGAACAGCUGUGACCUCCCUCGUACUUUGAAAGGGCUCUGACAAACACAAACAAAUUCAACUUAACAAAAAAAAAGUCUUGAGUUCAUUCAUUUUGCAUGUGUAAGGACCUGCAGAAUUAAUUAUUACAUUCAAGACUAAUCGUGAAAGAGCAGCUAAGGCUUUCCCAUGUGUCAAAUGACCCAAAUACUUCAACAUUUCCUGAACUGCGCUCCCAAUGACGGACAGGAUAAGACAGGACAGGAGAGGACACAGCAGAGGGCUGGAAUGACCUACGGUGUCCUGUACUUUGUUCUUGAAAUGAGCAGAGUAACCUCCCUCAAAGCACCUACUAUGAAAUCUGCAGUCCAUGACAAGGUUCCAAGGCCUGGCAAGAUAGCUGAGUCAGCAGAGCGUGCCCACCUUGAGUCUAUAAUAUCAGCAGGCACAUCAGCUUAAUGCUCAAAAGAAUAGCAUGAAUGCAUUUCUCCAGCCUUGAGAAAGUGCAUCAAAUCUGUGCAAUUUUCCCCUACGUUCUCCAAACAGUUACGUAAAACCAGCCCAUAUUUCCCUCUUGCUGUGGGGUGAAUAUAAUUCCCU